rnacentral:tRNA from 1 species
GGGAAGGUGGCUCAGUGGUAGAGUGCUUGUCUUGCAUGCAUGAGGCCCUGGGUUCGAUUCCUCAGCACCCCA